CUCUAGUCCUAAUGUGUGGUCAAUGAUAGUGUAUAAAGACAUUACAUCUAAUGUUGUCCACAUAGAUCUCUCUUCCCAUUCUCUUGAGUCUAGUUCUCGAAUUGAGUGUUUUGUGUCCUUAAAGGAACUCUGCAGUGCCAGGAAAACAUAUUAGUUUUCCUGGCACUGCAGGACCCUACAGUGUCCUUCUCCCUCCCACCACCCAUCCCAAG